rnacentral:rRNA from 1 species
GACGAACGCUGGCGGCGUGCCUAAUACAUGCAAGUAGAACGCUGAAGAGAGGAGCUUACUCUUCUUGGAUGAGUUGCGAACGGGUGAGUAACGCGUAGGUAACCUGCCUUGUAGCGGGGGAUAACUAUUGGAAACGAUAGCUAAUACCGCAUAACAAUGUAUGACACAUGUCAUUUAUUUGAAAGGGGCAAUUGCUCCACUACAAGAUGGACCUGCGUUGUAUUAGCUAGUAGGUGAGGUAAUGGCUCACCUAGGCGACGAUACAUAGCCGACCUGAGAGGGUGAGCGGCAACACUGGGACUGGGACACGGCCCAGACUCCUACGGGAGGCAGCAGUAGGGAAUCGUCGGCAAUGGGGGCAAACCUGACCGAGCAACGCCGCGUGAGUGAAGAAGGUUUUCGGAUCGUAAAGCUCUGUUGUAAGUCAAGAACGGGUGUGAGAGUGGAAAGUUCACACUGUGACGGUAGCUUACCAGAAAGGGACGGCUAACUACGUG